rnacentral:sRNA from 1 species
GCGCCAAGCCCUCGAAGCCGCCCACAAAGGAUGGGGAGUCUCGUGUAUCAUCGGAGUCGCCGGAGCCGGCCAAGAGAUCGCCACCCGUCCAUUCCAACUUGUCACCGGGCGCACGUGGAAGGGAACCGCAUUCGGCGGAUGGAAAUCCGUGGAAAGUGUGCCGAGACUCGUCGACGACUACAUGAACAAGAAGCUGCUCAUCGAUGAAUUCAUUACUCAUCGCUGGAACAUUGACGAUAUCAAUACGGCGUUCGAUGUUCUUCACAAGGGAGAGAGUCUGCGGUCGGUGCUGGCGUUCGAGAAAAUAUAACUUCACCUUAUUGCGUUCAAUUUUUGUUUCCACCUACUACUACGAAUACGUUGUAAAUCCAAAUAUAUUGUUCUUUAAUGAUACAUUUGCUUCCAGUAUGUAAUUUUUUCUGGUCAAAUCUUUUUUACUAACUUUUGAAGAUAUUGAAAUAAAGUUUGUUUGUAUUUAUUUUGACUAGGGCUUCCAUUGCAGUGAGACGCGAAAUGCAAGCUUUGAAUUUGUUGCCAGGAAAAAUACUGUGAUUUCACAAAUUUUUGCCAUGCCUUCUUAAAGGCGCACGUAUUUAUUCAGAUGGGUCUCGGCGCGCAAAAAAGUUCAUGGUAGUUUUUUAGAAACACUUCCUUUUCAAAAUGCAAAUGCUUCGUUUGUGGUGAAAAAAUACAUGGUGUAUGUUACAAUUGUCACGAGGCAAGGUUUUUCAGGCUGUUGAAGGGAUUGAAGCAUUGGGGUCAAGGGUGUCGGUUUUUCGAUUUUUCCAGAAAAUCGAAAAAUCGAAAAAUGACACCCUUGAGUGGGGUUAGGAGGGGAUAUGGUCGAGGUACUGUAGGAUUACUGUAGGAUUACUGUAGUUUUGUAAAAAUUGACUUUUCGCAUUUUGAAAAGAUAUUGGUUUGAGGUUAGUAGGGAGAUAUGGUUGGGUACUGUAGUAUUAUAGUUUCAGAAAGUGAGUUCCUAGAAUUUUCUAGAAAUUCAGGAAAUAUCUAGAAUUUUUUCAAUCAGUAAGCUACUAGAACUUUCUUGGAGGUCCGCAAAACCCCAGGAAAAAAGUCUAACUGUAAAAAAAGCUUAGUACUUUACAUUUUAUUGAAACUGUUAUAACAUUUAGGCCAAAUAUACCACAGACUUUUAGAGCAAAAUCCUUAAUCGGAAAUAAAAACGGAAAGUUCAAUAUAUAAGUUCAGUAUACUAUCAGGUCUAUCAUUUCUAAUAGAGACUACAUCAAGGGUGAGCGGCAAUUGACGAUCGUCAUUCCAAAUUUUCUGCAAUUCGGCAAUUGCCGAAAUUGUUCGAUUUCAGCCCACAUAUCUGUUUUAUAGCGUUCUUCAGUUAUUUUUUUAAUUCGAUUUUCGAAAUUGUGUCCCAUUACAAUUGUUCUAUUUUCCCACGAAUGACAUAUAUAAUCCUCUGUACAUCACGACAAGAUAUAUCGAUUUUAUCUAAACGCUGAAACCAACUGCACAGUAAACGAAUGAGACAACCUGUACAUACAUCCUAAUUACUGACAUGGUACUGCCGCCUCAUUUAAACGUUUUCUUCCUUCUUUGUUUUUAUUUCGAAAUGUAUUCUAUAGACACUAUUUUAGUUUUGAAAAUUUAUAAUUUACGCAUUUCUCCGCAUUUUUCCUUACCUUCUUUUUUUCAAACUAUAUUCCAAAUAGGUAAAAAAUGUUGUAAGGUGACCUGCACUAGGUCAAAAGAAGCUAUAGUAAACAAAUCUUUCUGAUGUCCAGUAUAUAUAAAAUUUCAAUUUUUUCUAAUGGUAUUUGGAAUUUGAAUAGUUGUGUAGUAGCUUAAUCCCAAAACAUUUUAAUGGGUUAUGAUAAAACAUAAUAAGUAGUCUUGCAUCUCUUUAUUACAGUCACCGAAUUUUAUCUUUUCAAAGCCAACAAUAACCUGUACUUUUAUUAUAACAAAAAAUUCAGAAUCAGUUUACAAAUCUACAAUUGGAAAUGAUAAGACCGCUGCAAGACAUAAUUAUCGAGAAAAUUGCAAAGCUAAUAGACAAUGGUGAGAGUUUCUUUUCUGGUCUUUCUGGUCUUCUGGUUAGGAAUACGUGACAAUCUCAUGACGUCACGUAUUUAUUCUUUAGUAAUUACGCUGCUAAAUGAGUGUGACGUCACAUGAAUGGAAAUGCGGUUGACUAAUGGUCGGAAAUUUGUAAAAGGAAUGUUUUGAAAAUAUAUUCUCUAUUGUUUAUUUUGCGUUGGUGACAGUUUGAACAAAUGUGAUGUUUGCUCAUCGGCCGACUGGAAAUUAGAACUCAGGUUGAAAACCCUAACCUCACAAGUGAAGUCGAAAAACUUAACCCCGUAAUUUUUUUGUAUACCAUAGUAAUUUUUCGAUCCAAAAAAUUUAGCUGCCCCGGUCUAGGUUCAACAAAGUUAUGACGUUUUGAAAGUGCCGAAAAAAAUUCCUUGACCAAACCCUAGCGAAAAAAACGUUCAAAUUUUCAAAAAAAAAAGUUUUUCUAAAAAUUGAUAAAAACUAUUGUAGCUUAUCCAAAAAUGUGAAAAACAUAUAUCAUGUACGUUUUUUCUCCCCACGGGCAAAAAACCACACUGCUUGAUCUACAUAUCUAGAGAAAAAUUCCAAAAAGGGUUUUCUUGAGAGUUAUGAGCUAAAACUUGCAUGGCAUAUGCUUUUCACUGUUUUAAAUCAUUUACACAUAUUUUUUUCUCUUUUCAGAAAAAAAAUUAUUUUUUAAAAAGGUGUUUUAGCCACUUUCAAAACGUCAUAACUUUGCUGAACCUGGACCGGGGCAGCUAAAUUUUUUGGAGGGAUCAUUAUUUUCACUCUUUCAUCGAAAAAUUACUAUGGCAUGCCAAAGUCCGGGGUUAAGUUUUUCGACUUCCCUUGACAGUGCGAAAACCACAUCAGCACCAGGGCUGUGCGGCAACUGGCAACCGAGUUGCCGGUUGCCGAAAAGUUGCCGAAGUUUCGGCAACCAAGAGUUGCCGAUUGCCGAAAUUUUUUUUAAUCGGCAACUUCGGCAAUUGCCGGUUGCCGAAAAUUUUGAGGUUCGGCAACUUCGGCAAUUGCCGGUUGCCGAAAACUUUGGAGUUCGGCAACUUCGGCAAUUGCCGAACUUUUUUCGGCAACUUCGGCAACUGCCGAUAUCAUUGUCAAACAUUCUGUAGCUCAGAAAAAGCAUUCGGAGAGCCUGAAAAAUGCUAAUAUUUCGCCGUAAACGAGAAAACGACCAUUAUUUUUUUUCCAAAACGCUCAAAACUAUGUAUUCAACAAAAAAAACUUUAAAACUUGGUUGCCGGUUGCCGAAAAGUUGCCGAAAAGUUGACGAAAAUUCGGCAAUCGAAAGUUGCCGGUUGCCGAAAAUUUUUGGGUCCGGCAACUUCGGCAAUUGCCGGUUGCCGAAAAUUUUUGGGUUCGGCAACUUCGGCAAUUGCCGGUUGCCGAAAAUUUUUGGGUUCGGCAACUUCGGCAAUUGCCGGUUGCCGAAAAUUUUUGGGUUCGGCAACUUCGGCAAUUGCCGGUUGCCGAAAAUUUUUGGGUUCGGCAACUUCGGCAAUUGCCGGUUGCCGAAAAUUUUUGGGUUCGGCAACUUCGGCAAUGGCCGGUUGCCGAAAAUCCCGGUUGCCGCACAGCCCUGAUCAGCACUCGAGAAAAUCACUAUGUUCUACUGCUCGAACUCGAGUGAUUUUUCACCAGUGCUGGUGUGGUUUCAAAUCACUCGAGGACUAAACUUCUCUAAUCAGACUUUUCUAUAAAUGGUUCGAAAGAGGGGGCUGGCUAAGGGAUGAUUGUUGUGGAGUUAUUUUUCCAAUUUUGGGUGAAUAUGAAAUAAGAAGUACAGAAAGUUUAUCAAAAAACAAUCAUUCAGACAACUUCAACAUGCUUGUUCGACCUCUGGAUAGAACAGCCAGCGACAAAAUGUUCAGUGAGUUGAUGAAAUUAAAAUUCGGACUUUGCGAAGAGGCACUGACUCGAUUUGGACAUUUUUUCUGCUUGAAGAAAGUCGACUUAUUCAAUUACCACGUUAGCAAAGAACUUGUUGAAGCGAUUAGAUGUCAAAAUUUGGAGUCACUUAGCCUCGGAAACUUAGAUUGGGUCAAACGUGGCAGGAGAUUCAUGAACGGUAAGAUUGCAAUAGUUGAGGUGAAAGAAACAUAAUUUGCAGGUUACGAUAUAGUACGUUUUUUGGAAAGUUUUCUCAACGAAGAAUCUCGUAAUGUACUUCACAGUUUAGAAAUCACGAUGGAGAGUCCAUUUGCCAAGGAAUGGCCAGCAAAGGUUACAUUUUUGUAUUUCAUUGUUGUCUGUUUUCCAAAUUUUACAGUAAGCGCCACAAAAACCACAGUUUCUGGUUUUUUCGACAACCAACAGCAUUAAUGCAUUUUAAACUUUGAAUAAUUGUGAGCCUUUAAUAGUGGAGUAAUGUGAUCAAGCCUGCACUGGCAGAAAAUGGGUCAUAGUAACCAGAUAUAACAAUAAUAACAUUAUUCUCCCUUCAAUUUUGAACAAAAAUAGCAAACACCUGAAUUGAUUUUAAAUUACUGAUUAUCAUCUCAAAUCAAAUUUUUUAAAAACAUUUUUUACUUGAUCACUACGAGUCAACCUUAAAAUAAAGAAAAAGGCCACGUUUUUAUUAACGUAAAUGUUCCAAAAAAUGCGGGGUAUAAAAUGAAUUGUACCAAAAGUUGUUUUUGAAUUAAUUUUUCUACAAACACAUUGUAUACUAAAUUGAGAAAAGCCGCACAUAACUCUCAUAUCAAUGUUGUUUGAUGACACCCUCCGUUCAAACCAGCAAUUUUUGAUUUGAGAUGAUAGUGAGUAAUUUAUAUUCAAUUCAGCUGUGUGCUAUUUUUUCAAAAUUGAAGUUAGAUUAGUGUUUUAACUGGUUAGAAAGUGCAAAACUAAUAGAAGCUUCAACACUAUAGGCUUCGUAUAUAUGUUAAUACCCUAUUUUAUUAAAAGGCAUAUGGUAGACUCCGUCCUUAUCUAGGUUUUUUUAAGCCACACUAAAACAGGAUUCCAAAGGGAACAGGAUUCAGUGGGCGGAGACAAAAAUUAAUAGGUGGAGUAGCGCCAGUGGGAAAAUUAUUAAAAACCACUCCUUUGGUCCAAUAAUGACCAAAUAUCAUGCUUAAACUUUUCAAAAAAAUUUUGAAAUUGUUUUAUUUACUGUCAAAAAGGGGCAAUUUCUCCGAUUUUGCCACUCAUCAUUUUGGAAGUCGACCAAAAAAAAAAUUUCGAUAUUUUUUAUGUUUUAACUUUAUUUAAAUUAUUUGUAUUAAAACACUGUAGGGGUCGAAACAUGCGACAUUUCUUUAAGUUUUCUCAAAAUCUCAUACUUUGCAAGAUGUUGGGAAUUUUCCAAAACUUUGACCGGAUUAUUAUGAUACUUGGUUGUUUUGGAUCAUUAUAAGUGCAUUUAGACAAAAUACCCACUGGCGCUACUCCACCUUUAAGAAAAUAAGAAAUAACUUCACACUUUUUUUCAACAUGAAUAACUGUCUUUUUUUUUGGAAACGUUUGUAAAUUUUUGUUCAGAUAAAUAAUAUGCUGCCCGCUUUGAAAUGCUUUGCAAUCAAUGGACAAGUGAAUGACGAUGAGUUUUCCCAUCUUUGCAUUGGUUUUUCCAAUUUACGUGUGUUGGAUAUUAGUAAUACAAACAUCAGAAACCUUUCCGGAAUGAAGAUGCUAGUUAAUUUACAAAUACUUUCAAUGAGAAACUUGGACAUUAACCAAACAUCUGAUUUAAUAGAACUAUUUUCAUUAACCAAGUUAACCGUUUUGGAUGUAUCGCAAGAUAAGUGAGUUUACGGGUUUUGAUGGAAUAAUUAACAACUUGGUUUGCUGGGGAGUAUUGCUUAUUUUAGAUGAGGUCUAAUACCAGUUUAGAUGCGUUUUGAAAAUUUCGAAUUUUGCUGCGUAACCAUGGUGUGGAUUUUUUAACAAAAAUUCAAAGAAAAACAUGUUCCAAGAAUUAAUUCAUUUUCAACCAUAGCGUGAAAUGUGGUAUUUUUUUAAAUGUUCAAAGCUUUUCUCCGUUUUGUUUCAGCCCUUUUCCAGAUUUGUCUCAGUUUUUUUUUAAAUUUUCUCAAUAAAUUAUCAAAGAUGACAUAUAUUGCAGCACAGCUAACCAAUCAAAAGUUGGUCAAGUGAUUUUAACAUAAUGAAAAACAACGCCGAAGAUGAGUAGAAAUUGUAAACUUUAAUCAUUGUUAUCUGAAAAACUCCUUAGAUUUUUUUUCUGAAAUCUUACACAUUUUUUCAGGCAGAAUCAUAUCUUCAAAUUUGAUAUAGUUUUUGAUACCCUUACCGAGUCAUUUUUCGAGAAACGCGCCAAAGUUUGCAAAACACAGUAGAAAAUAGAGUGUCAGCUCUAGUAAAAUCCUUCUAACUGAAAAAUAGGUCGGUAACUUUUCUGAAACUUCACGAGUUGGUCAUUUAGAUAAUUGUCUACAAUCCUAGUAUAAUGUCAAAAUCUUUCUAUGCACAGUUUUUGAGAAAAAAAAACCUUUAAAAAGGUGUGUGUUUAGAAUUUUUGAAGUUGGUUGAGCCAAGUUACAAUGCCCUGUUAUUUCAGAUAAACAAUGAUUAAAGUUCACAAUUUCUACUCAUAUUCGGCGUUGUUUUUCAUGAUGUUAAAAUCACUUGACCAAUUUUUGAUUGGUUAGCUGAGCUGCAAUAUACGUCAGCUUUGAUAAUUUAUUGAGAAAAUUUGAAAAAAAAACUGAGACAAAUCUGGAAAAGGGCUGAAACAAAACGGAGAAAAGCUCUGAAAAAUUAAAAAAAAAACCACAUUUCACGCUAUGGUUAAAAAUGAAUAAAUUCUUGGAAAAUGUUUUUUUUUGAAUUUUUGUCAAAAAAUCCGCACCGUGGUGACGACUGAAAUUAUAGCAACAGUUAAUGUUUCAGGCAAAACUCCGGUACCAAAAUAAUCUCGACAUAUCUGGAGUGCCGAAAGAUUUUGCUGGACCUAAAGUUUAUUGACUGCUCAAGAACUGAUAUAAAUAGAGAGUUUGCUAAAACACUCUUGAGCUCUCAUCCUUCAAUUGUUCACGUGUCCGCAAUAGGUUGUGCUAUUUUCAGACAGUAAAAAUAUGUCGUUUUGCAGGUUGCGAUUUGAAAAACUUCUCUAAAUGUGGUACUCGCAUUUUCUAUUGCACGUCAAUCGAAUCAUUGUUCAGAAGCUUAAUUGACUUCACAAAUUUGAAAAAUGAGCUAGCAACUUGUAGAUGUUUAGAAGAACUGCACCGACAACUAAAUGCUUCUCGUAGCACCGAAAACUUGCAUUACUCGAGUUUAUUGAAACUGGUUAUUCAAACUAUGAACAUGUUCACGUCGAGAUCAACCUUAAUUAAUGGUCUUCAGUGCUUGAUUUGGAUAAUAAAGUAAGUGGCAAAAAUUGAAACACGGCACAGCACUCUACAUAGAAUUGAAGUUUAUUUGGAACUCUUGAAUUAGUUGUUAAUAAAUCGUGCUUUUGAAAAUUGCCAUUAACGUGUAGAGAAAUGUUUUUCCUACAUGUUCGAUUUUGAGGAUUUGAUGAAUUGCUGAAAAAAAUUAUGGGGAAACAAGUCAAAAAUUUAAUAAAAUGGAAAUAACAAAACAUACCAACGUUGACCUUCCACUUGUGAUUUGAUUGCCUAAAGGUGGAGUAAAGUCGAAAUGUUUUUUUCUUUAAGUGAUUGAAAAUUUUUGCAGACAAAUGUUUCAAAAAGUGGCAAACAGUGAUUCAAAGAAAAUAUACCUUAAGGAAAAGCCUCUUAGUCAAUAAAAACCGAACAAUUCAUUCAGACAACGCGAAAAUAUCAAUAAAUGACGUCACACAUUUGCGCGCGAAUCCAAAUUUAAUUCAGUAAUUUCAUAUUUUUAUUUUAGAAAAAUUGAAAAAAUCAUAAGAAAUUUAGAACAAAUUUUUAAAUCUUUUUACAGUUAUCUUCGGUCGAUGCUGUCCAUUUUCUAUCACUUAAAGAACAAAUUAUUCCGACUUUACUCCACCUUUAAAGGUGGACUACACCCUAUGGGGAAAUUGCUUUAAAACAUGCCUAUGGUACCAGAAUGACCGAAUAUCUUGAUAAAAAAAUUUAAAAAAAAUUUCUAGAUUUUAUAUGGUUUUUUGAAAAUUGGAAAUCUCAGUUUUCACCUAAUUCCUAUUUGAAUUUCCGCCAAUUGGAUUUGUUCGAUGUGGCGCACAUUUUGGAUUUGUCUUAUUUAUUUAUUUCAUUUUCCAAUUGAAAAAAUAUAAAAAAUAAAGAAAAUCAGUCUAAUAACGAGAAUAAAUAAAAUUAAUAAAGUGAAAUAAUGCAAGUGCGCUCCAUCGAAAAAAUCCAAUUGGCGGAAAUCCAAAUAGGAAUUAGGUGAAAACUGAGAUUUUUUCAAUUUUCAAAAAAUCAUAUAAAAUCUAGAAAAAUUUUUUGAAUUUUUUUAUCAUGAUAUUCGGUCAUUGUGACCCCAUAGGCGUGUUUUAAAGCAAUUUCCCCACAGGGUGUAGUCCACCUUUAAACUGUGGUAGCACGAGAGUACUCGAUUUUCUCCGAAAUGAGAAGCACGUGGUGCCAUGCUGUCCCUUGAGAACAAAAUCCUGUUUUAGGGAGCAGUCCGUAGCAUAACAUCACAAUACACAUUUUACAUUAUUUUUCAGCCACAAAAUGGAUCAAAUUGGUCCAGUUAAUAUGUUUUUCACACUUAAAAAACUCCUGAGCUUAGCUGAUUUGUUGCCGGAAACGUAUUCAAAUGCGGAAAUAAUACGGUCAAAUCGAUUAUAUUGGGAUGCAAUUGUUAAACUUACAAAUUCGGAAAACACCAAUUUUGAUGAAAUCUGCUGGACAGCAAUGAACAUGAUGUCGAAAGUAACCUAUGCAGCUGGGUCAGGUGCAGUAUUCGUUCUAUGCAAAUUUUUUUCACACAUGAGCAGAAAAGAAUUUCUGCGCAUGGCAAAGGUUUCGAGAAAUGUUUCCAUUUCUUUCAGGCAUUUUUCUGAUCUCGCUUCUUUGCAGCUUUGAACUAAGGUUUGUGCGCGGAUUUUACUUUGUUUAGAAUACAUCGUAAGAAAUCAACAAAAGUUUGGAAAAAAAUCCGUCCAAAAAAAUUUUUUUUGGUCGGUCGUCAAAAAAACUUCAAAAAUUUUUUUUUUCGAAAGUUUUUGAUUUUUAGUAUGAAAAUGAUGUAACCAUGUGUACACUAUUUUUAAACAUACAAAACAUUUGAGUUUGAAAUUUGGAUCUCGAGAAAUACUCAAAAAACUCAAAAAUUCUUCGAAAAAAUUAUGUUUUCUAUUAUCAUUUGAGUGUGACGAACUUAGUUAAAAUGUUUUGUAUUUGUAAAAAUAGUUCACACAUGACUACAUCAUUUUUGUAUGAAAAAUCAAGAGUUUUCGAAAAAAAAAUUUUUGAAAAAAAAAACAUUUUUUGACCACCGACCAAAAAAAAAAUUAUUGGACGGAUUUUUUUCCAAACUUUUUCUGUUUCCUUACAAUGUAUUCUAAACAAAGCAAAGUCCGCUCAUAAACCUCAAUUCAAAGCUGCAAAGAAGCGAGAUCAGGAAAAUGCUUGAAAAAAUUGGCUUCGAGUUAGGGCACUCCGCGUGGUCAAAAAUUUUUGUGACCAUAUCAAAAUGAAAGAUCAUAGUUGAUAACAUAAAUUCCCACAGUUUCAAAAAAAUCGAUAAAAGGCGAAAGAAGUUAUGAUUUUUGACCCGGAACUUAUUUGGAGACCUAAUAUGUAAGAUUAAUUGUUUUGUAGGGAAAAAUAACUCUUUGUGCAUCCCGUGUGUGUAGAAUCAGAUUUCUGAAACUCUUCUCAACUUGCUAGAAACUGCAAUUGAAAUUGAAAUUUUGUAAGGAAUUUCCUAAACUGUAAAAUUCAGGAAUGCGUUCAAAAGCUGGGAUUCAGAACGAGCGUACAUUGUUUUCUCAAUUCUUGCCAUAUUUAUGAAUAAAGCUAAGAACACAUCAACUCAGGAUGAACUUUGGAAUUUGAUUAAUAUGUCCAUGAUGCAAAUUUAUUGUCGGUUAAGCCAACCGAAAAUUUAUCCAUUUAUCUUGAAAAUUCUAUUCUUCAACGCGUUCUCGAAACUUCAAAGGAUGACGGUCCCAUUAUUUGGGCACUUUUAACUAUCAAAUUAAUAUGGGAAAGCAACGAUGUUAACCGGAACAAAAUAAGAGAACUAAACCUUCAUGCCCAUUUAAAUUGUAUUAAUAAUCAUACAACAAUUGUUAAGCAUUUUAUAGAUAUCGUUAAACAUUUGUUUAAUUAGUCUAUUCGUAAUUGCAGUGGGACCAAACAUUUAUUUGUACCGCGUUGUUAUUGAAGAACAAUAACAUAUUUAUAAAUCCAAUAAAAUAUUAAUUAAUUAGCAAAGAAGAGCGGAGCAUCGUAGGUAUAUUAGGGUGAGCAAAAAGUAUUUGCAAAAAUGUUGAAUUUUUUGGAGAGAAUGGUUAUUCAAAGCGAACAAGAUUCAAUGGGUAAUACAUUGACCAUUAGUGUUUAUGACUUCUUGCCAACAGAACGGAAGUGGAGCAAUACCCUCCGCACGGAACUCCUGAGAUUUGGAGGGAAAGAAGUCGUCCAACCACGUUUCGACAACCUUUCGAUAAUGAAACUUCUGCCCGACAAGGUGAUUCUGGAGAGAGCGGAACAAAUAGUAGUCAGUAGGAGGCAAGUCCGUUAAAUACGAUGGUUAAAUACGUUAAAUACGAUAUCUCGCUGCCGCGGCUUGUGUUGCGACUCGGAUCCCCUUCGGGAACCCUCCGUGCAACUCGUCAAAUUCGGACGUAUUCAACAUCACUCAUUUGUCGAGAUUAAUAUCAUUUAUCAUAUACUUUCCACUGUGAAUCAUUGUAAACUCGUAAAUCGACUCAAAUACUCUGCGUCUCCUCGCUCUGCACACUCUCUCGUCGACGAUCUACCGUACUCCUGUGACGACUCUUCGUGCCGAACCCAUCAUGCCGCUCAAGGCUGCCGCAGCAGGAAAUUCACUUCAGUCGGGACGACUCCGGCCUAAAAUCGUGGUCGCCACCUCGUGCUCCUAAACAAAAAGAUGAUAUGAUUUCAUCAUCCGAUGAAUAUGGAAUUUCUUCCCGUCUACUCAACCUGACCACCAGCUUGAACACGGUUUAACACUUGAAAUAGGCCACAGCGCCAUGACGUCACUCUUUAUACGUCAUACAAUGAGACUGGCCAACUUGUUGCCAGUAUAAUAACGAUCAUAAACAAGGUUUUAUGCCUUCGGGCUUUUGUCCUUGUUCACACCUUUCGGAAUAAAAAUAUAUUAAAUAAUUAAUACCCUUUUGGAAUCUUUUAGUAAAAUUAUAAUAAAUUCCUUUUGCCUAAAUUGUGGCAUUCUUGAUAGGCAUUCUCACGAUCUCAUGGUCCCGUAAUAGCAAAGUCUGGAAGAAUUCUCUCGGAAAAUGACACCCUUACUGUCCCACCAAUUGAGAGAAGCACUAUUUUCUCGUGAAGUUCUUUUUUGAGGUUUCACGGUUUCCUCGACAGGACCUACUGUUUCUUUCUGGUUUGGUUAUCAUACCAUCCCCAUUUAUCAUCUCCAGUAAUAAUAUCCUUAACCCAGUCAGUCGUUCGUUUCCUAGUGAGCAGCGAAAAAGAGAGGUCACAAAGCAAUUUUUCGGAGAAUCGGACAAUUUUUGAGGAAGGAGUUGACCGAACUUUGACACCCUUCCGGUUUCGUGGAGAUGGUUGAUGAUGGUUUUUUGGGGAUGCUUGAGAGUCGCAGAAAGUUCGCGGUUCGUUGCUCUUGAAUCAUCUUCCAGGGCUCUCGAAAUAUCCUUAUCGGUAUCCAAAAGAGAGCGACCGGAUAUUGGUUCUUCAUCGAAAUCGUAGUUUUUUUCGUGAACUUUUCGAACCAGAACUUCAUGGUAUUGUAGGUGACAGAGUUCUUGACUAACACUGCACACAUGUUACGACGAGCUUCGUUGCACUUGCAGCCUUGGGGGAAUUCGUACAGAAAAACUCCUCAGAAGGCGUGCCGUUCGGCGAGCAAAUUCUCGGUCAUUUUGAACAGCACCCAAAAUUUUUAUCCAAUGUAUUAAACAUGCAUAUUACGUACUAUACAAAUAAAAAACAGAAUAGGAAUAAAACGAGUUAACGCUGAGAAAUGAAGAAACAUACAAAUUUUCCAAAGACAUGUUACUCAACCUAAUACGACAAUUGUCGAGAUUUCUUAUUUCAUGUUUGUGUAUUUCAUGCGAUGAUUUUAAACUAAAGUUGAACUAUCAUUCAUUUAUCCAUUUCCCGUAUUUCCUCUAUUAGUCUUGCACCCCUACGGAUCAAUUGAACAGUAGGUUUGCAUGCAAUACUAAUAUAGGAAAUAUAUAUUAAAAAAUUGAAUGCUUCUGGUCAUAAAAAUUUCAGAUUUUUGAAAAAUUUCCAGAAUUCUUCCAAACUUCUUUUAAAAUUAGAAAAGUGAAUUGGCAAACAAACAUAAUUUCUGCCUGAUAUCACCAUCAUGUCUCAGAGCAGCCAGAGUACGUCACUGAGACUGCAUAAAGAAUCUUAAGAAUCUCAAGAUUUCUGAAAUUUCGCAGCUUAGUCUUUCAAAUUUGACCGUUUCUCCGCAUGGAAUUCCAAAUUAAACAUGACUCGUUAAAAACCACCGCUCUCCCCUUGAGAUGGUUCCGUAGUUAGAAAUGGUAUUUUCAGGCCUAAAAACAUAAUAAUGUUCCACACUUCUUUGUUUUUAUGAGUUAAAAUUAAAGUCAAUAACAAUUUUUAUAUACCGAUUAUUAGUAAGCAUGUCAUACUUUGAUGCCAUACUAUCAGAAACUGCAAAACUAAUAGAGAGUGCAAAACUUUAAACAAGUUUUUUCAGUUAUUUUUUGUUGGGUAUCGACGUGUAUUGACCCAUGACGUGGCUAAUAAGAUCCCACAAUUGGACGAUGUGAAACCGAAGAACCGUGUGCAAAGGAUUGGUACAAUCCGAACAGAUGAACAGUCACACUGGUGUUUUCCGUAAGAAGCCUCAAAGAUGCAACCACCGAAAUGAAAUAUGAGGGGCGCCCCCUUGUACCAUAUUUUGUAAAAUUCUUCAGGAAGAAGUCUCCUGAAAGAUUUGUCAUCAAUGAUGAGAGAUGUUGGGUAGUAGUUAUGUAAUAAACUACUUGUCUUCUCCUUUCAGUACAUAAUAUAUUCCUUCAGUUCAUCACAUAUUCGUAUUAAAAAUAACAAAACUUUUUUCCCUUUAACGACAAAAAUAGCGUAAAAGACAUAUUAUUCGACUCAAAUGAAAAAAUUGCCUGAAUCGUGACCAUGUUCUUUCAGUGUAUCAUCAAUUUUAACUUUUAUUGAAAAAAUUCAAAGAAAAAUAGAUGCGGGUCUCGCAGCGAAAAAAGCGAGAAAACUAAUGCAGAGUGCAAAGCUAAUAGAGGCACAAAAUUAAUGGAGAGUGCAAUAUCAUUUUUCGAUGAGUGAUUUUAGAUGCAAAACUAAUAGAGGAAAUACAUUAAUUGUUGAAACUUUUUACUUAACUAUUGAACAUUUUGGCCUCACAGGAGUGGUUUUUAACAAUUUCCUCCUAGCCGCUACUCCACCUUAACGGAAAUACGUGAGAUGCAACGGGAUUUGGUUACAAAGCAUGUUCUUUUAUUUUUUUCACUUAAAUUCUUAACUGGCAGCGUCUCAUCGUAAACAAUAUCUCCAAAUGUGUUUAACUCAUGUUUGUUUAUUUCUCUUCUUUUAGUUAAAUAAACUCAAAUUCAAUUCAAUGUAUAGUUUAAUUCAUUAUAGCAACAAACUAAACUUACCAUAAAUCUUGUUUGUUGGAAAAGAGAUAAAAUAAUAAAAUUUUCACAACAUUGCAUUAAAAUAUUCCCAGUCAAGGAUACUUAAAUAUUAGGUUGAACCGGAAGUCUUUCUGACUUGAUUUGCUUUUCCACCGCUAGCCUCAGUUGCACUUCGGUGUUCCCUCGUUGCUAGGGUAUAACAACGAGUAAAGGAACUUCAUCUUAAAAAAACACCUCAUUCCCUUCCCUCUAUCCUGAGUUCAGUUAAACGACGAUGUAUGUACCUAGUGCUCUCCACAUCCGACAUGGUUUAAUGUACCUUUUUUUCUCUCAUACCACGAUGAAGGAUUUGGAGAGUCUUCUUGAGAAUGUUUAUCAUUCACAUGUCCCCCACUAUAAUACCAUACACAAUUGGUUCCAACAUUCCGAGAAGGAAGACGUCUCUCUCGAGGACCAAGAGACCCAUAAAUUGGAUUUGGAUGAGUUUAAGAAAGCCGUGGCAACGGAUCCUUUCCAAGUCACCCGAGAGCUGUCAACCGUGCUUGGAUCUUAUCAAUUCAACAUUGUGCGGGGCUUGGAAGCUCCCGGAAUGAAUAAAAUUAUGGGUCGAUUCAUACCUCACACUUUGACACAAGCCAACCAUGAUUUUUGAGUGGAUGAUUCCUUUUCCCUCGAGGGAUAUAGAUGCUCCGUUGAAAUUUUCCGUUUGGCCGCAAUUUUGGCAAAGUUUGGAAAACUCAUUCAAAACUCCGCUCCAUAUGUACAUCACGGAACUGUUUUUUGAUAGACAACAAUUGAAUAAAUCGGGUUUUCGAAACAUUUUUCAUCAAUUUGACUACAAAAGUGUAAAGUUCAAAAUAAAGAAAUCCAUUGAUCCACAAACCCGAAUCACUCGAAUCAAUGAAAUUCAUGUAUCCUAUAGGAUGGUCCCAAUCUUUUUAUGAAUCGGCAAACAUGAUUUUUUACAUGAACGUGCGGCAAAUUUGCCGUUUGCCAAGCAAGGAAAAUUUUGAAAUUUGUCGCACACAAAAUGCUAAUACAAAUUUUAUCCAAAACUAGAGACUUAAUGAAAAAAUUUGUGUUUCUUUCAUUUCAUAUUCAAGAAGUCCAAGGCAAAAACCAGUAAACUUACAAUUAGUUUUUCCAUUAAUUUCGGCACUUUUUGAGCUCUAAAAAUAUUUCGAUUUAGCAAGUAUGACGGCUAUGGCAAAUUUCCCGAAUUUGCCGCACGUGCGUACACCUCUGAUGUGUAUAUUAUUUUUGCGUCUUUGGUACAUAUUUAAUGUAGGUAGUCUUCCCUCGGAAAAUAUUUCUAUCAAGUUUCACCUCAUUGUUUAAACAGAAACAUAAAAAAAACUAUCACUCAUUUUGAGGUCUUGGUCUUGCAAUGAGAUUUUCGAUUAAUGACAAUUUGUACAUGUCGGUUUCUGAUAAUAUGUUCAAAAAAUAUUGUAGUUUUUAUAUACAGGGUGGCUCGUAAUUAUGGAUACGCAGUCCCGCGCUCAUAAAUACUAAGAAUAACAUUUAAAUUAACUCUAGAAUAACAUAUUUGUUUUCCGAUAUUCUAAAGAGCUAUUGAGGUGACACUUUCAUUAGAAAAAGUGGUGCAGCACUAAUGGAAAUGCAGCACUAAUAGAGAAAAUACGGUGAUUGAAAACAGUACGUUUAAGUGGUCAACAAUCAAACCGGAAAGCUCGGAAUGUGCCCGUUCGACUCAGCGUGGCACUUAUGAAAAGGUUAUGCAUUUCAAUAACAAUGUCACUUGAUUCCACUGUUGCAGUUCUCUAUUUAUCAAAAAUUGGUGUUAUUAUCAUGUAUAUGGGCAGAGAUAUGAUAAAAUCUGUGAUCUCUAUCCAAACUUGUACUUUUUCUAAUGCCAAACAAUGCGCCACGAACGCACUGGAAUCGAGAUUAAUCAUUUGAACAAUUAUGAGAAAAUUACUUGUGUUUCUAAAAUGUACCGCAUUUAUUUUAAAAAGAUCGAUCUGUUGUAUAACUUGAAAACCCCAAAUAAUGCUAUCUGCCAAAUUUGGCAAACCCUCAUUUACUAGCGUGCUCAUUCACUUAAACUCUCAAUCCCUAACGAUGGCUCAAUCCCUUUUAUGCUCAUUUACUAACUUACACGCUUUUACUCAUUCACAGGCUACUACUCAGGCAAACACUCAUUGACUACCUUUGCUCUCUGACUACAUUCAGAUGAUCUUUGACUUAUCUAAUAAAGUAAACAUAUGUAUUUAUACAAUAUCUGAUUAAAAUUUGUAAUCCAAAGCCCCCCCCCCCCUUACAAAAAUUUCAAUUUUUUUUGAAAACUUUUCAAAAUUUGAUCAGAUGCUAUAGUAAAAGGCAAUGUUUGUGGUUUUUUCUAGUUUUGAUGUUCUGCACACGAUUUCAGACAAAAACCGGAGGUAUAGUAGAACCCCAAAGUUUAAGAAAACUCACUCAUUGCGGAUGCUGAUAUCUCCGUUGAAAAGUUUUUUAUGACAAAGUGAUCAACUACAAAGUUGUUUAUCAUAAUCUAAAAUACAACUUUGUAGUUAAUUGUUUUUUACCAAAAAAUUUGUUGGUUGAGAUAUAAACAGAAAAAGAAUAAGAAAAUUCGGUACUUAUGGGUUUCGUUCCCCCCAGUAUGUUUUCCAUAAUUUUUAAUUGAGACGUGAACUUUUUUUCAUUCUCAGGCUUAGGAAGAUGGUUUCCUAAGCCUGAAAAUGAGAAUAGUAUCAAAAUAAACUUUCACGUGUGGAUUAAAAUUAAAAAUUCAGUAUUGAAUAAUUAAAUGAACAUUUUGGAGGGAACGAAACCCAUAAGUACCGAAAAUUCAAGCACGAAGGUGCUGAUCUUUACACAACUUUAUCUCGACAAGCAAAUUUUUUGUAAAAAACAGUUAACUACAAAGUUGUACUUUAAAUUAAGAUAAACAACUUUGUAGUUGAUCACUUUGUCAUAAAAAAUUUUUCAACGGAGAUAUCAGCAUCCGAAGUUAGUGCAUUUUUUGAGCUUAGGGGUUCUACGAUACCUCAGGUUUUUGUCUGAAAUCGUGUGCAGAGCAUCCAAACUAGAAAAAUUACAAACAUUGCAUUGUUCUAUAACAUCUGAUCAAGUUUUGAAAAGUUAAAACAAAUUUGAAAAAAAUUUUGAAAAUUUUUGUACCUUUGAAUUACAAAUUUUCAUCAGGUAUUGUAGAAAUAUGUUUACUUUAUUAGAUAAACGUAGUCAAAGAUCAUUUGAAGGUAGUCAGAGAGCAACUGAAGGUAGUCAGAGAGCAAAGGUAGUCAAUGAGUGUUUGCCUGAGUAGUAGCCUGUGAAUAAGUAAAAGCGUGUAAGUUAGUAAAUGAGCAUCAAAGGGAUUGAGCCAUCGUUAGGGAUUGAGAGUUCAAGUGAAUGAGCACGCUAGUAAAUGAGGGUUUGCCGCCAAAUUCGUUUGUGUGACAGCGAAUUCUUAAUUGACAAGACAGCCAGGAGUCCAUAUUUUGACAAGACAAAAAGUUUUACGUGUUAAGUGAUAGAAAAAUGUGUCAGUUAUCAAUAAAAUAAUCUUUAUCUCAAAAUUUUCCAUGCUCACAAAAAUCAAGGUUUUGUGUGAGCAACUAGAGUAUCAAUAAUUAUGAGCCACCCUGUAAUAAUUGUCCUCGUUCAUUUUACACAACUUUUCCAAGUGGCUCACUGUGUAAUCCGAGCUCCAUAACCACUUUUUCAGUAAACUUUAUGUUUUUAUAUGCCCUCUUCAGCGUUUUCUGCCAAAGCUCAGUCAUAUUGGUUAUUGGUGAGAGUUUUGGCUUCAUUGAUUUGACCUACAUAACAAGUAUAAAAAUACAAAGAAUAAAUAGUAAAAAUAAAACUGAUAGACAAAGCUUUAGCGAGUUGUUUUUUAUAAGAGUUAAAUUUACUUCAAUCACAGUUUUAGUUUUGAAAGUUUGUCAGAUUCAGCCCACUGCGUUUCUUUAGUUCAUUUUGUUGUGGUAACUAAAAACGAUAGCAUCCAUCGUAAUGCACUAAAAACCACUUCUAGGCAAGGAAAUAACAAAAAUUCAAAAGAAAUUCACACAUUUGAAAUUGCACCUCAACAAUUGUUUUUUGAAAAUUUUAUACACAACUCCAUUUUUCAUUUUUAAUCCAACUUAAAUAAUCAAUCCGAAAGUCUUUUACAUUAUAAUUCAUAAAUCGAGUUUUUCCAGACAUAUCAAUGUAUUUUGUUUUACUCCCAAAAAUGUUAUAUUUGAUCUACCGCGCGCACACGAAUAUUGGUACUAUGCAGCGGGAGACGCAGAUCGAUAUGCUACGCUGCCUGCGAGGCACACUGUUUAGUGUCCACUACGACAUCCGUGAAUGUGUCGUUAUUUUUUCUCGUCUUACACAUUUUUCUAUUUGCUGUAACUUCUGUGACUAUGGUUCUUUAAAUUUUGAACCAAUCUUUUUUCUUAAGAUUAUAUUGAGAUUUACCUAAUUAUAUACGAACUCUAAUUUUUUAACAUUGUUCUAAAAAAUGAUAUAUAGGCCAUAUAUUGAACGUUUUGCAUCCAUCAGUUUCUUUUUUGUUUCUAAAAUUUUUAAAUUGGACUUCAAUUUAAUACAUGCAAUUUCGUAAAUUUAACUUAGAAAGAAAGCUAGAAAUCCAGUAAACCUCGCCGUUCUCUUAACACUAUGAAAGUUUCCCUCGUCGUUUUUUUCCGAUAUUUGAAAAUUACUUCGGGGCUCGUCUCUUACCCUAAUCUUUUCUGCUAUUUUCAUCAAAGUUUUGAUCUAGAUUGGCUUUUUUUCCUAAAAACGGAACUGAAUAGUGAACGAGAUAAUUUUUAAAACAUAUAUAUAUAUAUAUAUAUAUAUAUAUACAAAAUUUGUGAUAAAUACAAAUUACAAACUAAUAGUUUUAUUGAUAUUCGUAUUCAAGUUUACUAAUAAUUUAGAUUCCUCAAAUUUCGGCAAUGACAGUUUGAGAGAAUAUAUUGUUCGUAAUUUUUGGAACAUCGAAAAUGUAGUUUGAUAUAGGUUGAAAAUUGCCGGAAACUUUUUGAAAUUUUCCAAAUGAAUAUAGGGCUUACUUCACCAAUGCCUCAUAUCAGAUCUAGAACAAUAAAUGCUUUCAGUUGUAGAAAAAUUGACAGAAAAUUUAGGUACUCGACAUCUUAGAUACCGUAUUUCCUAUAUUAGUCUUGCCCUAACGGGGCAAUCGAAAAUUAGUCUUGCAUGGAAGACUAAUAGAGGAAAUACGGUAUUUUCUGAUUUGAUAGUACGAAUUAAGUUAACUUAAUUACUAAUGUAAGAAAUGAAUAUAUAUACAUUGAAAUGCAUUCUAUUAGGUUGUGAAAAAAGUUUUCUCCGUUUGAAAAUUUUACCCCGGAAAGUUGUCCAGCUCUCAGGACUAUUCUAUAAUAGAAUGUUGUAGAACAUCCUAUUUUUAUACUCUCCAAAAAAAUGGUUGAUGACGGUUUUUUGGGGAUGCUUGAGAGUCGCAGAAAGUUCGCGGUUCGUUGCUCUUGAAUCAUCUUCCAGGGCUCUCGAAAUAUCCUUAUCGGUAUCCAAAAGAGAGCGACCGGAUAUUGGUUCUUCAUCGAGAUCGUAGUUUUUUUCGUGAACUUUUCGAACCAGAACUUCGUGGUAUUGUAGGUGACAGAGUUCUUGACUAACACUGCACACAUGUUACGACGAGCUUCGUUGCACUUGCAGCCUUGGGGGAAUUCGUACAGAAAAACUCCUCAGAAGGCGUGCCGUUCGGCGAGCAAAUAAUUUGUAGAAUAAUAAUCUAACGCGCCUUCCAUCUUAUUAGAUCACCUUUUUCUAAUUAGAAAUGCCUGUUUCUAAUAAGAAAUGCUUAUUUUCUAAUUAGACCCUCAAACGGGGUGUCUGAGUAGUUUGUGGUGCUUUCUUCUUCCAAGGUGGAAUACGCUCAGUGGGGAAAUUGCUUUAAAACACGCCUAUGGUACCACAAUGACCUAAUAUCAUGAUUUAAAAAAUUCAAAAAAGUCUCUAGAUUUUAUAUCAUUUUUGAUAAUUCAAAAAAAAUCUCAGUUUUCACCUUAUUCCUAUUUGAAUUUCCGCCAAUUAGAUUUGUUCGAUGGAGCGCGCCUGCCAUAUUUUUUAAAUUAAUUUUAUUUAUUCUCGUUAUUUGACUGAUUUUCUUCAUUUUAUAUAAUUUUUCAUCGAAAAACGAAAGAAAUAAACAAGACAAAUGCAAAAUGUUUGUUAACAAGUAAUUGAAAAUAGGUAAAACUGAAAUAUACUAAUUUCAGGCUUGUUGUCGGCGGAACUCAAAUUAUCACAGUUUUACGCAUUUUCAGUUCCUUUUUGACAAAAAUUUUGCAUUUGUCUUGUUUAUUUCUUUCGUUUUUCGAUGAAAAACUAUAUAAAAUGAAGAAAAUCAGUCAAAUAACGAGAAUGAAUAAAAUUAAUUAACUAAAAUAAUGCAAGCGCGCACCAUCGAACAAAUUCAAUUGGCGGAAAUUCGAAUAGGAAUUAGGUUAAAACUGAGAUUUUUUCAAUUUUCAAAAAAUCAUAUAAAAUCUAGAACAUUUUUUUGAAUUUUUUAUCGUGAUAUUCGGCCUUUGUGGCCUCACUGAGCGUAGUCCACCUUUAAAUUUAAAUUCAUUGUGUAACAUAUCCAUCGUCUGAAAACUUUUUUUCGAACACCUUCGUUUUUGCUGGUAGUAUAAAAUAAUCAAAUAUUUUUUUGUCUAACUAAAUAAUUUUAUACUGCUCGGCAUUCGAAAAUUAUGAGCAUUUUAUCAAUAGAUACUUCUAACAUUACUCAAAUUCACGAUAAACUAAAAAUUGAAGUUUUGUUGUUUAUAUUGCACGAGUGCUCCUUUUUAUCCAAUUAAAAAAUUUUCCUACAAAAUGAUGUCGUUCCUUACGAAUACACUUUUUUCCUUGAAACUGAACUUGCACCAUUUUAAUUUUCAGAUGACAUCUGUGAGGGCCCAAAUUCACCAACAGCUUUACAAGACUAAAACGAUUGCACCGGCUCUAACAAUCACAAAUGCGGUCACUGGAGGUUUUGAUGAACUCGGAGAGUUUGGUUUGGACGACGUUGAGGUAAUACAUUUAAUAGAAAGUUAUGAGUUUAAAGCAUUUAUUUUUCAGAAUUUGAUGAUUUCCAAUUCGCGACUGACAACAUUCACCAAUUUUCCGUUUAUGCCGAAAUUAAAAACUCUGGAUGUAUCCUGCAACAACUUCCAUGGCGUGAUUGACAUGUCGAUUCUUGCACGCAAUGCUCCAAGACUUAAAGUACUCAUUUUGGAUGAUAAUCAGAUUCACAUUGGCUCGAUUUCCUCGCUGAAUGGCGUCCGAAAGCUCGCCAAUCUUUCAACUACAUUGACAGGGGAUGCAUCACCAGAGCAUUGUGAUCGAAAUGAGAAGAUUAUUGCAAGAGUGCUGCCAAAACUGAAGAUUCUUAAUGACGAGGUUGUAAAGCGAGACGAGGUAUUUCAAUUCUUUCACGUUUUCAAAAGUAUUUAAAUAACUUUCAGAUCAUACCUGCAAGGCCGCCGUCGCCUGGAGCGCAAAAGCUCCACUCUCGAUUGAAACGAUCCAAGUGGCUCCACCGAAAGCCCACGAAGUUCGCGUUAAAGUAUGUAAAUUUAGUUUUUUUGUUGAUUUGUCUUAAAUAGCAUAUCAUAAAAAUAUGGUUUUUUUUUCGAUCAAAACUUUAGCUCAAAAUUCACAUUUUAAAGUAAACAUUAUCAUAUUUCAAUUUCAGAUCCUCUACACCUCAGUCUGCCACACGGACGCCUACACCCUCGACGGACACGAUCCGGAAGGUCUCUUCCCUGUCGUUUUGGGACAUGAAGGGUCUGGAAUUGUCGAGAGCGUCGGAAAAGGAGUCACAGGAUUUGCUCCAGGAGAUCACGUCGUUCCGCUCUACGUUCCUCAGUGCAAAGAAUGUGAAUAUUGCAAGAAUCCAAAGACCAAUAUGUGCCAGAAGAUCAGAGUCUCACAGGGAGAUGGAUUUAUGCCCGAUGGAACGUCGAGAUUCACUUGCAACGGAAAACAGUUGUUCCAUUUUAUGGGAUGUUCCACGUUCUCCGAGUACACUGUUGUGGCCGACAUCUCACUGUGCAAAGUGAAUCCACAAGCUCCACUGGAGAAGGUUUCGCUUCUUGGAUGUGGAAUUUCAACUGGUAAGAAAGCUUGAAAUUGUGGUAGCUUCCUUGGAUUAUUAGUCGCAUACCGAAAAUUUUCAACAAAAAAAAAUCAAUUUCUACAAAAUCUCCAAUUUAACCAACUUUUCCACAGCUCAGGCGGCUGUGACACUGAAAAGACGGAACUUUUUGCUGAAAUUUGAUCUUUGUUUUCUGAAAUUUUGAACCGUCAUUAAAAAAAAACAUUUUCGAAAAGUCUCGUGUAUGAAAUUCGUUCAGUUGGAAUGCAUAUUUUGAGUAGAGCACAAUAGACAAAUAUUGAUCAGUUACUUCAUUCAUUUUUUAAAUCUAAAACACGAUAUCGUAACUAUUUCAGGAUACGGAGCCGUCUUGAACACGUGCAAAGUAGAAGAAGGGAGUACUGUAGCCGUAUGGGGACUCGGUGCAGUCGGAUUGGCCGUUAUCAUGGGCGCAAAGGCUGCCGGAGCCAAGAAAAUCGUCGGAAUCGACUUGAUUGAAUCGAAAUUCGAAAAGGCCAAGAUGUUCGGAGCCACCGAAUGCAUUAAUCCGAAGAGUGUGGAGCUUCCGGAAGGAAAGAGCUUCCAAUCGUGGCUCGUGGAGCAAUUCGACGGAGGGUUUGACUACACUUUUGAGUGUAUUGGAAAUGUGCACACAAUG